rnacentral:rRNA from 1 species
GACGAACGCUGGCGGCGUGCUUAACACAUGCAAGUCGAGCGGUAAGGCCCUUUCGGGGGUACACGAGCGGCGAACGGAUGAGUAACACGUGGGUGACCUGCCCUCAGCUCUGGGAUAAGCCUGGGAAACCGGGUCUAAUACCGGAUAUGACUCCAUGACGCAUGUUGUGGGGUGGAAAGCCUUGUGCGGCUGAGGAUGGGCCCGCGGCCUAUCAGCGUUGUUGGUGGGGNGAUGGCCUACCAAGGCGACGACGGGUAGCCGGCCUGAGAGGGCGACCGGCCACAC